CCCACCCAUGUGGUCUAUCAAGGCGGCGCGUAUAGUAUAGUCGAGUAUAGUAGCUACGUUGUUCAUUUAAUAGAAGUUUGUACGUGGUAUAGUUGAUACUAACUCUCUUUCUAGCAGUUUUGUACAACUGCAAGGUCAUGUCUUCAUAUCCGAGCUCCACACACCACCUUGCUGGUUCAGGGAGUGAGGUGGGAGGAUUAAUAAUCAAAAACAAGAGGGCAACAGAGAAAAAGUCAUCUGAUUCAAUUUUUAAGAAGCCUAGUAGCUCCCUACUUGGUUUAGACGUACUAGCAAAACGUAAAAGAGAGGAGAGACAAGUCAAUCAAGAUUCCUCCGGGACUUUUACAGAGAAAAAGGCACGUAUCAACACUAGUGAAGAUGAUGAUAGUGAUGUUCGCAUCAGUUUUGGCCGCUCAGACUCUUCCAAGGACAGGCAGUAUAGAGGCACCCACGUUGACACCCCCUCUCAUCCUGGUGGGGUCAGUGACGAAGCCUUGGAGAGGUUCCAUCAACAUAUCCGUAAAGGAACUAAAGAAGAAUCGGGUGUUUAUGCCAGCUCACAGAACAAGGAGGAGAAAGACAGAAGAAGGGGGCAUGAGAGGAGAGGGGACGAACGGCCCUCUCGCCACAGGAGAGAGGAAAGGUCUGAGCGGAGGAGGAGGGACGAUAGAAGGAGGAAUGACGGGAGAACAUCAGAAAGGUCAGAAAGGUCACGAGGUAAUGACUGGGAGACUGAGACGCCUGGCUAUGAGGUCAGAGGUGGGGACACCCCACACUCACGAAUCAGAGGCACCCCGUCCUCAUGGGAUGUAGAAAGUACCCCCGGACGUCCCGGCUCAGACAGCAAGUGGGACAUGCCCUCACCAGCACCCACCAGGGACAGCGGCAUAGGCUCAAAGUGGUCCAAGGAUACGCCCCUCCCCACACCCACGCAUCGCUACAAUGAAUGGGCAGAUGAUCGUAAGAGUCUGGGGGUGACCCCUCGCCAAAAGGGGGGUAUGGUCAGUGAGGAAGGUGAGAGCUUUAAGAGUGAGCAGGAGAAGGAGCAAUGGCAAGAGGAACAAAAGAGGUUGGACAGGGCAUGGUAUGACUUUGACGGGGGAUACGAUGAGACCAACAAUCCUUUCGCCAAUAUCCCUGAAGAGUACACAAAGAAGAAAGAGGAGCAGAUGACUAAACACGUCGUGAAGAAGAUUUCAGCUCAUCAGAGACAAAUUAACAAGGAUAAUGAGAAGUGGGAAGAGAAUCGAUUGCUAACAAGUGGAGUGGUGAGGAAGAUUAAUGUGGAUGAGGAUUUUGAAGAGGAGGCAGGGGACAAAGUUCACCUGCUGGUGCACAACAUUGUACCCCCCUUCCUGGACGGGAGGAUCGUCUUCACAAAGCAGCCUGAACCAGUUGUGCCUGUCAAGGACCCGACCUCUGACAUGGCUGUUCUCUCUCGGAAGGGAAGUUUACUGGUGAGGAGGUUUCGAGAGGAGAAAGAAAGGAAAAAAGCGCAGCAGAAGCACUGGGAACUGUCUGGCACUAAAAUGGGAAAUGUCCUCGGCAUGAAAGUCAAACAGGAAGAUGAUCCCGGUCAGUCAGAGGAUGGAGCUACCAACUACAAGUCUGGGCAGCAGUUCUCUGAUCACAUCAAGGAUGGGAGUCAAGCUGUGAGCUCUUUCGCCAAGAACAAGACUAUGAAACAACAGAGGGAGUUCCUACCAAUCUACGCCUCCAGACAACAGCUAUUGAGUGUGAUUCGCGACAACAGUGUGGUGAUAAUCGUUGGGGAAACAGGGUCUGGUAAGACCACACAGCUCACACAAUACCUCCACGAGGACGGGUACAGUAACUACGGCAUGAUUGGGUGCACCCAGCCACGACGAGUGGCAGCUAUGUCCGUGGCCAAGAGGGUAUCGGAGGAAAUGGGCUUCAAAUUGGGGGAGGAGAUUGGCUACUCCAUAAGAUUCGAGGAUGUUACCAGUAAAGCCACGUAUAUCAAAUACAUGACUGAUGGUAUUCUGUUGCGAGAGAGUCUCAGAGAGCCAGAUCUGGACCAGUACAGUGCAGUCAUCAUGGACGAAGCUCAUGAGAGGUCCCUCAAUACGGAUGUGCUGUUCGGCCUGCUCAGAGAUGUGGUGUCACGUCGUAAUGACCUCAAGCUCAUUGUCACCUCCGCCACAAUGGAUGCCCACAAAUUCUCCUCUUUCUUCGGCAAUGUCCCCGUAUUCAUGAUCCCUGGGCGAACGUUCCCAGUAGACAUAAUGUAUGCCCGCUCGACAUGUGAGGACUAUGUGGAGUGUGCAGUGAAGCAAGCCAUCCAGAUCCACCUGGCACCCUCCAUAGGGGACAUACUCGUCUUCAUGCCAGGACAGGAGGAGAUCAUUACUACCUGUGAAGUUAUUGCCGAACGCCUCUCAGAGCUGGACGACUCUCCACCUUUAGCUGUACUGCCCAUCUAUUCUCAGCUGCCCUCCGACCUCCAGGCCAAGAUCUUCCAGAAGGCCCCCGAUGGAAUCAGGAAGUGUGUAGUCGCUACAAAUAUUGCUGAGACCUCUCUCACUGUGGAUGGCAUCAUGUUUGUGGUUGAUGGAGGGUACUGUAAACUGAAGGUGUACAACCCUCGCAUUGGAAUGGACGCUCUACAAGUAUUCCCUAUCAGUCAGGCUAAUGCUAAUCAGAGGUCCGGCCGUGCAGGCAGAACUGGAGCGGGGCAGUGUUAUAGGCUCUACACCAAGCCAGCGUACAACACCGAGAUGUUGAAAAGCACUGUGCCUGAGAUACAAAGGACCAAUCUGGCCAACGUGGUGCUACUGUUAAAGUCCCUUGGAGUGCAAGACCUCCUCCAGUUCCACUUUAUGGACCCACCACCUCAGGACAACAUCCUCAACUCGAUGUACCAACUGUGGAUUCUAGGAGCACUGGACAAUACUGGGGCCCUCACCUCCCUCGGGCGACAGAUGAUUGAGUUCCCCCUCGACCCAGCACUCUCCAAGGUGCUCAUCACCUCCGUGGACAUGGAGUGCAGUGCUGAGGUCCUGAUCAUAGUGUCAAUGUUGUCAGUGCCAGCCAUAUUCUACCGUCCGAAGGGUCGUGAGGAAGAGAGUGAUCAGGCCAGGGAAAAGUUCCAGGUGCCAGAGAGCGACCACCUCACCUACCUUCAUGUCUAUCAGCAGUGGAAAAGCAACAACUACUCAUCGAGAUGGACGACUGAACACUUCAUUCAUGUAAAGGCUAUGAGGAAAGUGCGGGAGGUUCGGCAACAGCUCAAGGACAUCAUGGACACUCAAAGACUUCCUGUUAUUUCUUGUGGCACUGAGUGGGACAUUGUAAGAAAAUGCGUAUGCUCGGCCUAUUUCCACCAAGCUGCCAGGCUAAAGGGUAUUGGAGAGUAUGUAAACAGUCGCACUGGGAUGCCGUGUCACCUUCACCCGACCAGUGCUUUGUAUGGGAUGGGUAUCACUCCGGACUAUGUGGUCUACCAUGAACUCAUCAUGACCACAAAGGAGUACAUGCAGUGUGUGACAGCAGUGGAUGGCCACUGGCUGGCUGAGCUGGGGCCAAUGUUUUUCAGUGUCAAAGAAUCAAACAGAUCAAGACUGGAGAAAAAACAAGCAGCCAAAGAGAAGCUCUCUCAGAUGGAGGCUGAGCUGUCGGUUGCAUCGCAAGAAAUGAAAGCAGCAAAAGAAGAGCAAGAUGCCCAAAGAAGCAAGAGUGUUCGGAUCCCGGUCAGUCAGAGGAUGGAGCUACCAACUACAAGUCUGGGCAGCAGUUCUCUGAUCACAUCAAGGAUGGGAGUCAAGCUGUGAGCUCUUUCGCCAAGAACAAGACUAUGAAACAACAGAGGGAGUUCCUACCAAUCUACGCCUCCAGACAACAGAUCUACAGCUCUUGAGCAGAGGCUCUUGAGUGUGGCUCUUGAGUGUGAUUCGCGAUAACAAUGUGGUGAUAAUCGUUGGGGAAACAGGGUCUGGUAAGACCACACAGCUCACACAAUAUCUCCACGAGGUAACUACGGCAUGAUCGGAUGCACCCAACCACGAUGAGUGGCAGCUAUGUACGUACGUCCGUAUGGCAAGCCGUUCGUAACAAAAUUAAUUGAAGCUAGUGUCACAUCGUAAGGUUAAAAGGUCACAUCCUAAAGGUUAAAAGGUCACGCCACGCCCCAUGUAAGAUGUCACAUCGUAAGGUUAAAAGGUCACAUCCAUCAAUUCUGCGCAGAUCUAGAUCUAGAGCUGGCACAGUGAUAAUUAAUUAGAAAUGGAACACUUUGGUUGGAGCAGGUUCUUUAUAGAGGUUGGUGAGGUUUUUGAUUCUUGCCAGAACCAGAUAGGAACAGCCAAUCAAAGUUUUGUUAACUAUAUAAUAGAAAGACUAGAAAAUGGACUCAGAAACUUGGACCCCAUAAGUGAGACACUCUGUAUGGCUCUUGAGCCCGAAAAUGAACUUGAAGUUGAGCAAGACACUGUAACUUCAGGGUGCUCUAUUUAAAGUGCUGGAUGUGACCUUUUAACCUUACGAUGUGACAUCUUACAUGGGGCGUGGCGUGACCUUUUAACCUUUAGGAUGUGACCUUUUAACCUUACGAUGUGACACUAGCUUCAAUUAAUUUUGUUACGAACGGCUUGCCAUACGUCCGUGGCCAAGAGGGUAUCAGAGGAAAUGUUGCAAAGUAAUAAGAGCUUAAUUAUGCCUCGGUGCGCAUGCGCAAGCGAGGUAUACGGUAGUGUGUUUGUGUGUCUGUGUGUGUGUCUGUGUAGACUGCUACAGCUGCUCAAGGAUGAAUCAAGUGCAAGUAAGAGUUUCUAUAGGCUUCUAGUCAUGUUUACUUGGAUUUUAAUUCGUGGAUUUGCAAAAUAAUGCUUCAUUCUCGAGUUAUGCUUAGUUUUGCUUACUUGGAAUGCCAUUGCAGCCUUUUUAGAAGAGCACGUAGCCAAACUUGUUUACCGAGUGUUGCUACUCUACUUAGUAGUUAGCUCUGCACUAGAACGCUAGCUAUUGGUAGCUGCAAGAGUGAGAAGAGAGCUGCAAGGCUCUGCUGAUGGCAGCCAUUAAUUUUAGACUUGAACUUUUGGCAUCGAUCGUUUUAACAACAAUCAUGGUCGAUCAUUACCCACUCUCUGAGUUUUUGCAUGCAGCAAAAUUUAAUUGUUUUGCAUAAAAGCUAUUAGUGGCAGCUUUAUGUUAUGUAGCUUUGACAUCUCGGCGGUGCUUUCAUUAAUAUACAGUAUAACAUCUCCUCAUGUAGGAGUACAUGCAGUGUGUGACAGCAGUGGAUGGCCACUGGCUGGCUGAGCUGGGGCCAAUGUUCUUCAGUGUCAAAGAAUCAAACAGAUCAAGACUG